rnacentral:rRNA from 1 species
ACUAGACUCGGUGAAAUUAUGGUCCCAGUGAAAACGCUGGGUACCCGCAUCAAGACGAAAAGACCCCAUGGAGCUUUACUAUAACUUCGUAUUGAAAUUUGGUCUAACAUGUGUAGGAUAGGUGGGAGACAAUGAAGACAGGACGCCAGUUCUGUUGGAGUCAUCCUUGAAAUACCACCCUUGUUAUAUUGAGUUUCUAACUUGCCAUCAUAAUCGGGUGGGAGGACAGUGCGUGGUGGGUAGUUUGACUGGGGCGGUCGCCUCCUAAAGAGUAACGGAGGCGUUCUAAGGUACACUCAAUACGGUCAGAAACCGUAUGUAGAGCGCAAAGGUAGAAGUGUGCUUGACUGUGAGACUUACAAGUCGAGCAGGUGCGAAAGCAGGACUUAGUGAUCCGGCUGUACAUUGUGGAAUGGCAGUCGCUCAACGGAUAAAAGUUA